rnacentral:lncRNA from 1 species
AAAACAUAAACAUAAAGAGUACUAUUUUUAUCUUGGUGUCAGGUUUUCAAGAAUUGAAUCAUCAGCUGUGCUUUUCAUGUCCACAUUUAGCUGUAAUGCACUCAUCUUCAUGAUGCCUAGAGGGGGACAGGGAGAGCAUCGAGAGGUUGAAUCCAUAGUAAAUAAGAUGGCAUAGACAUAGAAUGGGGUUGAUGGACAAAUGCCACAUAAGAAGCUUUUUUUUUACCCUUUUUGCCUUUCAAAUCGA